rnacentral:ncRNA from 1 species
GGGGCGAAGACAAUCGAACUGCCUGGUAGCUGGUUCCGGCCGAAAUGUCUCUCAGGACAGCGGUGUCUGCGAAUAGGAAGAUGCGGUAGAGAGGAUGUCGACCUUGUCAACAAACUCCGAAUGCGUCAUUGUGUUGCGAUUGCAUCCAACAUGAUCAUCUAUAAGACACUAGUGGGCGCCUUGUGGUAAGCAUGCGGCGCAAAAAGGGAUGAACCUAGCAGUGGGGUAAGGUGCCUAAAGGAAAACAAAGAGAAAAAGCGUUUGGCAGAUUAGGACAGUGGGGCGGUGGCCAUGGAGGUCGGCAUCCGCUAAGAAACGUGUUACAACGUACCCACCGAAUCUGCGAAUGCUGAAAAUGGAUGGCGCUUAUUUCCAUACCGAGCCCCACAUGGUACAGCCACGUAGGCCGGCACGUGUGCAUCUGAGAAGACCCGCCGUGAGGUGUGUUGGAGAUGUUCACGGAGCAGAUCUUGGAAGUAGUAGCAUCAUUUGUAUGUGCCAAUGGAGGCGGGUUUGUCCUUUUAAUAGAAGGAAGUGAUACGAGCCUAGUAAAAGGGAAUAUAGUAGAUAUUCUAUAUAGAUGUACCUAUGUGGCGACACGACAGCGACCCCAACGACGUGUGCCGGUGAGAAUUUUCCGGGACACCCAGAUCUUAUGAGCGUCACGCUGAGACUAAGAACGAGUUGGGCGGUGAAAAUGAAGGAACAUCCUCGUACCGAACCGCAACAGGACUCCUAGGUGAGAAGCCUAAGGCAUAAUUGUAAUGUGAGCAAGGGAAAUCGGCAAAAAUGGAUGAAAAACCUCGGGAUAAUCAUUGGCUCUAGCAUGCUAGAACUGGGCUUACAGGGGGAAUCUGACUGUUUAAUAAAAACAUACCUUUGUGUGUACGCAAAGUGAAUUCUGCCCAGUGCUUGGGACGUUAAGAAGUAAUUUUAAUACCCACCUGUAAACGGCGGAAGUAAUAUGAAUCUCUUAAGGUAGCCAAUGCCCCGUCCCCUAAUUAACGAACCCCAGAAAUGAAACAACAAAUUCCCAUGUCCCUGGUUAAAAAUUGCGAAACUAAGCCCAAGGAAAGGCUUUGGAAAUUUAUCGGGAAAAAAACCCGGUUAUUUUAAUUUAUCCAAGCCCGGCCUGGUUAAAUAUUCGAAUCAGGUGGGAGAAAGUGUUGAACCCCGAUAUACAUGGGGGGGGCCUUCUUAAAUUGGGGGGAAUU